rnacentral:lncRNA from 1 species
AUUUGAUUAAAAAUUAACUUUUGAUUCCUUGAAGAAUACCAUUCAAAUAAGCCUUUUUAAAAAAAUAUUUUUAUAGCAUAGAAUUUCAAAACUCCAUACAAAAAAAAUUAAGUCCAACAUGAUAAGGAAAAUCCAGUAAUGAAAUUUAAUUCUUUCACUGACAAAAAUUAUGAAAUCUGCAAUAUCCAUGUGCUAGCAAUUAUUUGCAAUUGAAUUAAUUGAUAUUGAUAAAUUUAUAAGUUAUAUCUCUUAUUUUUUAUUAAAAAAUUUUGAAUUUUUUAGGGUUGGUUUAUUUUGUACAUAUAUCUAUAACAGUGAAACUAUUUUUCGUAAUUUCUGGUAUUGAAUGAAAUUCAUUGAGUAUAUUUGGUCAAAGAUGGUGUGGUUCCCAUCUGCAAUUGUUUUGCCAUUUAGUAAGCUAAUUGAUAUUCUUGGAACACAUCCUCUGAGGAGGGUGGCUGAGUAUGAUGAAGUUUGGAUGAUGGUUACAAUCAUGGUCAUUUGCAAAAAUAAAUGUUAUGGAAUUUUUGAACUGAAUUAUUAUAGUGGUAUAAUUGCUAGGAAAACUACAUAAAUUUGAAAUAUUCUGGAAAUGAUAUCUCUUGCACAGGGAUAGCUGUGAUCUUAGGUAAUUUGCUUUAAUUAAUUAUUGAAUUUGCUGAUUCAUUAAGUAAUUAUUUAAUAAGUGUGAAGCACAUCAGAUCUAGGUGGUUGGUGAAUUUCCUGGGAAAUAAUUUGUCACUGAUUGCAGCAGGCAUGUCAUGCCCAUUUGAAAUGUCAGAGAGUUGUUUAUAGUUGUAUUCUCAAUAUUUUUGAAUGGGUAUCAAUGAAAAUGGGUUGAAAAUGAAUGAUUAAGAAAUAAUAAUACUUAUUUUAGUAGAAUUACAGCAUAUAUUCUCUGUUUUCGCUUUUGUGUUUUUAUUUUAAUUUUUGGAUAUCUUAUAUGUCAUCAUACAAAAGAAAAUU